rnacentral:pre_miRNA from 1 species
AUUUAUCUGCAUUUGCACCUGCACCUUGCUGUGCUGUUAUCUGGGUUGACGAGGAUCAUCAUGAUGAUCAGCUUCAAAACUCGAAAGCAUGAAGGUGCAGCUGUAUAUGCAGGUGAAUGCC